GACGAACGCUGGCGGCGUGCCUAAUACAUGCAAGUAGAACGCACAGUUUAUACCGUAGCUUGCUACACCAUAAACUGUGAGUUGCGAACGGGUGAGUAACGCGUAGGUAACCUGCCUGGUAGCGGGGGAUAACUAUUGGAAACGAUAGCUAAUACCGCAUAAUAUUAAUUAUUGCAUGAUAAUUGAUUGAAAGAUGCAAUUGCAUCACUACCAGAUGGACCUGCGUUGUAUUAGCUAGUAGGUGAGGUAACGGCUCACCUAGGCGACGAUACAUAGCCGACCUGAGAGGGUGAUCGGCCACACUGGGACUGAGACACGGCCCAGACUCCUACGAGAGGCAGCAGUAGGGAAUCUUCGGCAAUGGACGAAAGUCUGACCGAGCAACGCCGCGUGAGUGAAGAAGGUUUUCGGAUCGUAAAGCUCUGUUGUAAGAGACGAACGGGUGUGAGAGUGGAAAGUUCACACUGUGACGGUAUCUUACCAGAAAGGGACGGCUAACUACGUG
rnacentral:rRNA from 1 species